rnacentral:rRNA from 1 species
AUGCUGCGCCGCGUCGCGCCGCCGCUCCGCCGAGCCCUCGCCUCCUCCGCCGUCCCGCACCGCGGAGGCGCGCGCCUUCCCGACCCGGGCCUCUCGUCUCCCCACGCCCUACCCCCGCAAUGGCGCCGCUGGGCUUCCGCCGCCGCCGCUUCCUCGCUCCCGCCGCCUCCGCCGUCUCCUCCCCAGGGCCCGCCGCGGCACGCGGGCGGGGGAUCCGCCGCGUCGUCGCUGAACCCCGCCGAGGUGGCCAAGUUCGCCGCCAUCGCCGAGACCUGGUGGGAUUCUCAAGGUCCAUUCAAACCAUUGCAUUUGAUGAAUCCGACAAGGCUGUCUUUUAUCCGCUCCACACUCUGUAGACAUUUCAGGAGGGAUCCAUAUUCAGCUAAGCCACUCGAAGGUCUUAAAGUUAUUGAUGUUGGAUGUGGAGGUGGCAUUCUCUCAGAGCCUCUUGUUCGGAUGGGAGCUACAGUUACUGGUAUUGAUGCUGUUGACAAGAAUAUAAAGAUUGCGCACAUUCAUGCCGCAUCUGAUCCAACAACUGCUUCCAUUGAGUAUUGCUGCACAACCGCUGAGGAUUUGGUAAAAGAGAACAAGCAAUUUGAUGCUGUAAUUUCUCUUGAGGUGAUUGAGCAUGUUGCCAAUCCUUUGGAGUUCUGCCAAUCUCUAUCAGCUUUGACAGUUCCUAAUGGUGCCACUGUGAUUUCUACAAUCAACCGGUCAAUGAGAGCAUAUGCGGCUGCCAUUGUUGGUGCUGAAUAUAUUCUCAGAUGGCUUCCUAUAGGCACACAUGAGUGGUCCAAACUAGUCACCCCCGAGGAGCUAGUCCUAGCACUGCAACGAGCCUCAAUCUCCGUGGAGGAAAUGGCAGGGUUCUUCUACAAUCCGUUGACCAGAGAGUGGUCCCUGUCUGAUGAUACUAGUAUAAACUACAUUGCUUACGGCAUCAAGAAAAGCGAAGCACCCUCGGCGACGCCACAGUAG